CACACUAUCAUUAACUGAAUCCAUAGGUUAAUGAGGCGAACCGGGGGAACUGAAACAUCUAAGUACCCCGAGGAAAAGAAAUCAACCGAGAUUCCCCCAGUAGCGGCGAGCGAACGGGGAGGAGCCCAGAGCCUGAAUCAGCAUGUGUGUUAGUGGAAGCGUCUGGAAAGGCGCGCGAUACAGGGUGACAGCCCCGUACACAAAAGCGCAUGUGCUGUGAGCUCGAUGAGUAGGGCGGGACACGUGGUAUCCUGUCUGAAUAUGGGGGGACCAUCCUCCAAGGCUAAAUACUCCUGACUGACCGAUAGUGAACCAGUACCGUGAGGGAAAGGCGAAAAGAACCCCGGCGAGGGGAGUGAAAAAGAACCUGAAACCGUGUACGUACAAGCAGUGGGAGCACAGGUUUACCUGUGUGACUGCGUACCUUUUGUAUAAUGGGUCAGCGACUUAUAUUCUGUAGCAAG
rnacentral:rRNA from 1 species